rnacentral:misc_RNA from 1 species
GAUGAAGAACGUAGCGAAAUGCGAUAAGUAAUGUGAAUUGCAGAAUUCAGUGAAUCAUCGAAUCUUUGAACGCACAUUGCGCCCGGCAGUAAUCUGCCGGGCAUGCCUGUCCGAGCGUCAUUUCACCCCUCGAGCCGCUUUUAGUGGAUCGGUGUUGGGGCACUACGGUAAAACGUAGGCCCCGAAAUGAAGUGGCGGUCCCGCCGCGGUGCCCCCAUGCGUAGUAACGUUUAGUCUCGCAUCGGGUCCCGGCGGAGGCCUGCCGUCAAGCCUUUUAUUCUCAGAAUAGUUUGACCUCGGAUCAGGUAGGGUUACCCGCUGAACUUAAGCAUAUCAAUAAGCGGAGGA